GUGGGGCAUUAUCUAGCGGUUAGGGUAUUGGAUUCCCAGCCAAAAGGUUGUGGGUUCGAACCCCAAUGUCCACA